UUAAUGGCAAAAUAUUCGAAAGAUUAUGACGCAAAACUACAGGGCCUGUAAGAUGGCAGCCAGUUACCA
rnacentral:ncRNA from 1 species